AUUGAACGCUGGCGGCAGGCCUAACACAUGCAAGUCGAGCGGAUGACGGGAGCUUGCUCCUUGAUUCAGCGGCGGACGGGUGAGUAAUGCCUAGGAAUCUGCCUGGUAGUGGGGGACAACGUUUCGAAAGGAACGCUAAUACCGCAUACGUCCUACGGGAGAAAGCAGGGGACCUUCGGGCCUUGCGCUAUCAGAUGAGCCUAGGUCGGAUUAGCUUGUUGGUGAGGUAAUGGCUCACCCAGGCGACGAUCCGUAACUGGUCUGAGAGGAUGAUCAGUCACACUGGAACUGAGACACGGUCCAGACUCCUACGGGAGGCAGCAGUGGGGAAUAUUGGACAAUGGGCGAAAGCCUGAUCCAGCCAUGCCGCGUGUGUGAAGAAGGUCUUCGGAUAGUAAAGCACUUUAAGUUGGGAGGAAGGGUUGUAGAUUAAUACUCUGCAAUUUUGACGUUACCGACAGAAUAAGCACCGGCUAACUCUGUGCCAGCAGCCGCGGUAAGAC
rnacentral:rRNA from 1 species